GACGAACGCUGGCGGCGUGCUUAACACAUGCAAGUCGAACGCUGAAGCUCAGCUUUUGUUGGGUGGAUGAGUGGCGAACGGGUGAGUAACACGUGAGUAACCUGCCCCCUUCUUUGGGAUAACGUCCGGAGACGGGUGCUAAUACUGGAUAUUCACUGGUCUUCGCAUGGGGGUUGGUGGAAAGGGUUUUUCUGGUGGGGGAUGGGCUCGCGGCCUAUCAGCUUGUUGGUGGGGUGAUGGCCUACCAAGGCUUUGACGGGUAGCCGGCCUGAGAGGGUGACCGGUCACAUUGGGACUGAGAUACGGCCCAGACUCCUACGGGAGGCAGCAGUGGGGAAUAUUGCACAAUGGGCGCAAGCCUGAUGCAGCGACGCCGCGUGAGGGAUGGAGGCCUUCGGGUUGUGAACCUCUUUCGCUCAUGGUCAAGCCGCAACAAUGGUUGUGGUGAGGGUAGUGGGUAAAGAAGCGCCGGCUAACUACGUG
rnacentral:rRNA from 1 species